AGGUGAUUUUCCGACGUUGAGUGAAAAAGGAAAGUGAUAUAAUCUCCGUAAGAGCUUGUGCACACACAAGGGCAAAAAGGUGAGCAUGGAACUAUGUAGAGGGCACGACUAGUUGUGGAGCUCUUACGGGAUUCCAAAGAUCAAUGUACAUGGAUGACGACCUGUAGGGUUAUUUUGUGGGCUAUUGGUUUGAGCUUACACUCUAUUGUGUUGUAUUUUGGGGGUCCUGUCUUGUAUAACUUUUGAAAUGGCCUAUAGAUGUAUUUAUAACCUUAGAACAUACGUGUUGGAUUAUGGUUGUCUGUAUAUAUUUGGGGUGUGACACCUGUCAAGAUGAUAUCAUCUACAUACACAAUAAGAAUCGUCCUUUUUUUCUAAUA